rnacentral:rRNA from 1 species
CCUGAGAAACCCAAAAGAUCGAAUGGGGAGAUUCAUCGUCAGCGGCGUUGGCUUCCGUGCGGUGCGCGAUGGCGGGGACCUCGGUCUCGCGUCACGCCGCCGCUGCGGCAUGUCCGGCGUCGUCGGCGUGCACUUCUCCCCUAGUAGGACGUCGCGACCCGUUGGGCGUCGGACCAAUGGCCGGUCGGUCGUCUGUCGUGCUUCUGCGCUUCAGACCGGCCGGUCGAACGUCCGACUGCCCGGCGGUAUCGAACGUUGAAAACUGGUACUGGGCCGCAUUCAGUGCGUUCCUGGCUCGUCGGCAGGCUCGCCUCGCUCGGAUUUACGGACCUAGCGCCGUUGCCGGGUGCUUGGCGCGGCCGUUAGUCGGCGAUGUCCUCGGACUGGCUCUUACCGGUCGG